GACGAACGCUGGCGGCGUGCUAAUACAUGCAAGUCGAACGCUUCUUUCCUCCCGAGUGCUUGCACUCAAUUGGAAAGAGGAGUGGCGGACGGGUGAGUAACACGUGGGUAACCUACCCAUCAGAGGGGGAUAACACUUGGAAACAGGUGCUAAUACUGCAUAACAGUUUAUGCCGCAUGGCAUAAGAGUGAAAGGCGCUUUCGGGUGUCGCUGAUGGAUGGACCCGCGGUGCAUUAGCUAGUUGGUGAGGUAACGGCUCACCAAGGCCACGAUGCAUAGUCGACCUGAGAGGGUGAUCGGCCACACUGGGACUGAGACACGGCCCAGACUCCUACGGGAGGCAGCAGUAGGGAAUCUUCGGCAAUGGACGAAAGUCUGACCGAGCAACGCCGCGUGAGUGAAGAAGGUUUUCGGAUCGUAAAACUCUGUUGUUAGAGAAGAACAAGGACGUUAGUAACUGAACGUCCCCUGACGGUAUCUAACCAGAAAGCCACGGCUAACUACGUGCCAGCAGCCGCGGUAAUACGUAGGUGGCAAGCGUUGUCCGGAUUUAUUGGGCGUAAAGCGAGCGCAGGAGGUUUCUUAAGUCUGAUGUGAAAGCCCCCGGCUCAACCGGGGAGGGUCAUUGGAAACUGGGAGACUUGAGUGCAGAAGAGGAGAGUGGAAUUCCAUGUGUAGCGGUGAAAUGCGUAGAUAUAUGGAGGAACACCAGUGGCGAAGGCGGCUCUCUGGUCUGUAACUGACGCUGAGGCUCGAAAGCGUGGGGAGCAAACAGG
rnacentral:rRNA from 1 species